rnacentral:sRNA from 1 species
GCAUGUGGGACAAGUAUAACGAGCCGCUGUUGCAGUCAGUGUGCGUGUUCCGCGAGCGGACCGCGCGGCGCGUCCUGGAGCUGCACCGCGGACAGGACGCCGCGGCCCGGCUGCUGCGCCUCUACCGGCGCCACGAGCCUCGCUUCCCCGAGCUGGCCGCCCUUGCAGACCCCCACGCUCAGCUGCUACAGCGCCGCCUCGACUUCCUCGCCAAGCACAUUUUGCACUGCAAGGCCAAGUACGGCCGCCGGUCUGGGACUUAGUGUCACCGGGAGGAAAAGAGAGAGACCUGGGGCUGGGGUAUGGAUGAUGGGGGGAAGGGCCGUCGCCUCUGCUACUGUCAGGGACCAGCCGGCCAACGCCCACCCGCAAAGAGCGCUGGUGGCCCCGGAGCAGGGCUGUGACAUUGGCUGGUGGAGCCCCCUUCCUGUGUUCUCCCUUUGUUCCAGCGCCGCGAUGGUGAGAUCACUGUUCCAAGCAGGGGGACGGCUCCCGAUAGGACAAAGAGAGCAGGACCUCCAGACUGGGGAGCCCUGCAGACCUUGACAAUUUGCCUGACUCAUUCCUGACCUCUUGUCAUUUUGGCCUGAAGGCUACAAAUUCAGGGCCAGCUGUAUGCACUAAGUCAAAUAAUGAAUUUCUUCCUCCCUCUCGCAACCGACCAAAAUUUUGACAACGAUGAUGUUCACCAGAAGGAAAAAAAAAAUCAGUUUUAUGCACUUUAUUUUGUUUUGAUUUUAAUUUUUUAUUAAGAAAAACUUUUUUAUUUUACAGAAUUUACCUUCUCUGUAUAUAUGUGCAUAAAGUGUGGUGUAAAUAUACUAAACAAACUUAUAUUUCAAUAAAAGGG